UGGCGAACGGGUGAGUAACACGUGGGUGAUCUGCCCUGCACUCUGGGAUAAGCCUGGGAAACUGGGUCUAAUACCGGAUAGGACCAUGCUUUAGUGUGUGUGGUGGAAAGUUUUUUCGGUGUAGGAUGAGCCCGCGGCCUAUCAGCUUGUUGGUGGGGUAAUGGCCUACCAAGGAGGCGACGGGUAGCCGGACUGAGAGGUUGGUCGGCCACAUUGGGACUGAGAUACGGCCCAG
rnacentral:rRNA from 1 species